UACGUAGGGGGCGAGCGUUGUUCGGAAUUACUGGGCGUAAAGGGCACGUAGGCGGUGCCUCAAGUCAUUUGUUAAAAGGUGUGGCUUAACCAUGCUGUGCAAGUGAGACUGAGGGGCUGGAGUGCCGGAGAGGCAAGCGGAAUUCCCAGUGUAGCGGUGAAAUGCGUAGAUAUUGGGAAGAACAUCGGUGGCGAAGGCGGCUUGCUGGCCGGUAACUGACGCUGAGGUGCGAAAGCCAGGGUAGC
rnacentral:rRNA from 1 species